GUCAAACUCGGAACAUCCCUCAAGGAAAGUGGGAGAUUUUUUUCAUUGUUUAUUUAGGUUGUACUCAUCAGCGCAGUUCACUUUUGUGCAACUAACGUAAUGUUAACCUUCUGGUUAGCUAGCCUAUUUAACGAUACCUGAUUCUCAAUACUUUUGUCUGCUUUUGGUCAUUGUGUGAACGCUUCAACUCGGAAGUGAGGCGUUCCGAAAUAGGAAUUUUCCUAAUUCCCAGCUGCCUGAACGUACGAUAACCAAGACGGGGCGACGUAAUAGACAUGUUACACCAUAGACAUAUAUAUACAUGUAUAUAUGUGUAUGUGUUACACUACACUAUAAAAACUACAAACUUCCGGUCGCCUCCCAUAGAGUGUCACUUCCUUCUGCUACCUAAAAAAAAACCUGAAAAAGCCUUAAAGCUGCUGGGUGCUGUGAUGCACUACUAAAGGUAAAGAUUAUGCCCUGGAAAUCUUUCCAAUGUAGACGUCAGGAAGGACAUCUCCUUUCAUCACAGAAAGCGAGGAGCGAGGAUAGUGGGCCUAUAAGUGAGGAAACAGAGGACUAUCAUCCUUCGCAGAAGCGUUUUAAAUUGAAAUGCAGUAUGUAUGGCCAAAUGUGGAAAUUCCAAUGUGGAAUCAAGUUGGUUUAUGAAUGAAAAUAAAUAAUCAGUCAAACAAA